CCGCACCGAACGCGCCCCCACUGCGCAGGCGCGCCCACCCCCGCGAGGAGUAGCAGGCGGCGGCGCACACUGCUUACGUUAAGGCUACCCAGCCAGGGAGGACUCCAAGGCAGAAUUAAGGUACAGCUUCAUCUCUGGGCCUGAUCCUGCAGCUCUCAGUCACGAGAGGAGUCCUGGCUUGAGCAGUCCUCCUGGCUCUGAUGGGGCAGAUAAACACAUCAGUUUACACUUCUGUGGAACUGCCAAGUGCUUUCACUCUAAUGCAGAGCAAACAGGGAAUAUUAAUUUUUAAUUUUAGGUCUGCUACAUUCAGGGCGUGAUUCUCCCAGCCAGGAAAGAACUUCAGUGAAUCAAAUCACCCAUGGAGAAUGACCAACUAACUGGGAAAUAAAAAAUGGUGGCGACGUACUCCCUACUUUGCUCUCCUCCAAGAGCUGGGCUUUGAGAGACAACCACAGCUUCAGCUUUGCAUAUUGCAUAGUGGCAAAAAUAACAGCUUGUUUUAGUUUGUUUCCAAAACACUUAUCACCAUGUAUCAUAAAGACCAAUGUAUAUAAACAUAAGGAAACAUCACACUGAAAAAUGUGACAGUAACAUUACAAA